ACAAUUACCUAUAGAGAUUCUU
rnacentral:miRNA from 14 species